AACGAACGCUGGCGGCAGGCCUAACACAUGCAAGUCGAACGCACCGCAAGGUGAGUGGCGCACGGGUGAGUAACACGUGGGAAUGUACCCUUUGGUUCGUAAUACCGUCUGGAAACGGACGCUAAUACCGGAUGAGCCCUGCGGGGGAAAGAUUUAUCGCCAAAGGAGCAGCCCGCGUCUGAUUAGCUAGUUGGUGGGGUAAAGGCCUACCAAGGCGACGAUCAGUAGCUGGUCUGAGAGGAUGAGCAGCCACACUGGGACUGAGACACGGCCCAGACUCCUACGGGAGGCAGCAGUGGGGAAUAUUGGACAAUGGGCGGAAGCCUGAUCCAGCCAUGCCGCGUGAGUGAUGAAGGCCUUCGGGUUGUAAAGUUCUUUCGCACGCGACGAUGAUGACGGUAGCGUGAAAAGAAGCCCCGGCUAACUUCGUGCCAGCCGCCGCAGUAACAC
rnacentral:rRNA from 1 species